rnacentral:rRNA from 1 species
CUGGGAAUCUUGCGCAAUGGGCGAAAGCCUGACGCAGCGACGCCGCGUGGGGGACGAAGGUCUUCGGAUUGUAAACCCCUUUUGACAGGGAAGAUGAUGACGGUACCUGUCGAAUAAGCCCCGGCUAACUACGUGCCAGCAGCCGCGGUAAUACGUAGGGGGCGAGCGUUGUCCGGAUUUACUGGGCGUAAAGAGCGCGUAGGCGGCUCGUUAAGUUGGCUGUGAAAGGUCUGGGCCCAACCCAGAUAAGUCGGCCGAAACUGGCGGGCUUGAGGGCGGUAGAGGAAGGUGGAAUUCCGGGUGUAGUGGUGAAAUGCGUAGAUAUCCGGAGGAACACCGGUGGCGAAGGCGGCCUUCUGGGCCGUUCCUGACGCUGAGGCGCGAAAGCGUGGGUAGCGAACUGA